rnacentral:lncRNA from 1 species
CUACAAUCCAAGACACGCAUCAUUCAAUAAUUCUUCAAAGAUAAGAUCUUUGUCAGUGAAAUUUCCGCAGGGAAUACACGUACCUUGUGGCGGUGCCGAGGCGGGUGUGCCUCUUGAUGACGUUGUCGAGGCCUUCCUCGAAGAUGAGGUCGAGCCCGGCGCGGAGGCCGUAGAGGAGCUGGAUUGAAGGCGUGUAAGGCCAGUAUGUGCCCAUCUUGUAGAACUUGAGGUAGUCCUUCCAGUCGAAGAAGACCCUGACGGACUUGGCCGUCUUGCUUGCCUCGAGCGCCCUCGGGCUGGCGCACACGAUCCCCAGCCCCGUCGGCAGCGACAGCGCCUUCUGCGACCCCGUCAG